GCCUACGGCCAUACCACCCUGAAAGCGCCCCAUCUCAUCUGAUCUCGGAAGCUAUGCAGGGACGGGCUUGGUUAGUACCUGGAUGGGAGACCGCCUGGGAAUACCAGGUGUUGUAGGCU
rnacentral:rRNA from 1 species